GACGAACGCUGGCGGCGUGGAUUAGGCAUGCAAGUCGGACGGUAGGGCUUAUCGUAAGAUAGAGUUUGAGAGUGGCGAACGGGUGAGUAACACGUAGGAAUCUACCCUUAAGACGGGGACAACCCAGGGAAACUUGGGCUAAUACCGGAUGAGAGUGCGAGAGAUUGCAUUUAAAAGGAUGGCGAAAGUUGUCGCUUAGGGAUGAGCCUGCGGUCUAUUAGUUAGUUGGUGAGGUAAGAGCUCACCAAGGCGAUGAUAGAUAGGCGGCCUUAACGGGUGGUCGCCCACACUGGGAUUGAGAUACGGCCCAGACUCCUACGGGAGGCAGCAGUAGGGAAUAUUGGACAAUGGGCGCAAGCCUGAUCCAGCCAUGCCGCGUGAGUGAAGAAGGCCCUCGGGUUGUAAAGCUCUUUUGUCCGGAAAGAAAAGCGCCGGGUUAAUACCCUGGUGUCCUGACGGUACCGGAAGAAUAAGCACCGGCUAACUUCGUG
rnacentral:rRNA from 1 species